UACGUAGGUGGCAAGCGUUGUCCGGAUUUACUGGGCAUAAAGAGCGCGCAGGCGGUCGUGCAAGUCGCGUGUGAAAGCCCCCGGCUCAACUGGGGAGGGUCACGCGAUACUGCUCGACUCGAAGGCAGGAGAGGGAAGUGGAAUUCCCGGUGUAGUGGUGAAAUGCGUAGAUAUCGGGAGGAGCACCAGUGGCGAAGGCGACUUCCUGGCCUGUUCUUGACGCUGAGGCGCGAAAGCUAGGGUAGCAAACGGG
rnacentral:rRNA from 1 species